rnacentral:lncRNA from 1 species
UGCCCCCCAGGGCACAUCCAAGUUGGCAGAACAAUCACAUUGGGGGGCUCUGGAACCAAGUGUGGGGAGUUCGAUUCCUGGUUGGAGCAGCCAAGUGAUGUAAUAACCAGAGGAAGGGUUGGAGCAGCUUGGUGAUGUAAUAACCAUGGAGGAGGGUCCCUUUGGGGAAGGAGUAAAAGCCAUGUGGGAACCUGGGAACCAACAAGGGCACAACCUGCGAUUUACCUCCACUAGUCACUGAGGGGCCGGGGGCUAGAGGUCCAGGAUUU